rnacentral:lncRNA from 1 species
GGUGCGGCGCUAAAAAGGCAAAAAAAAAAAAAAGAACUUCCAAACAUUUGCAUGGAAACUCAAAGGACCCUCAAAUAGCCAAAAAAAUCUUAAGAAAGAAGAACAGAGCUGGAUGUAUCACACAUUCGGAUCUAAUAAUGUGUGUGUGUGUGUGUGUGUGUGUGUGUGUAUUUUUUUUUUUUCUUUUUAGGGUCACACCCACAGCAUAUGGAGGUUCCCAGGCUAGGGGUUUAGUGGGAGCUACAACUGCCAGCAACACCACAGCCACAGCAACACCAGAUCCAAGCCACACCUGCGACCUACACCACAGCUCAUGGCAACGCUGGAUCCUUAACCCAUUGAGCGAGGCCAGGGAUUGAACCCGCCACCUCGUGGUUCUUAGUCAGAUUUGUUUCCACUGAGCCAUGAUGGGAGCUCCAUGAUCUAAUAAUAUAUUAUAAAGCGGCAGUAACUAAGCAGUUAUUAAACAGUGCGGUACUGACAUAAAGCAGACAUAGACAUCAAUGGAACAGAAUAAAGACCCAGAAAUAAGCCCUCAUGUAUAUGGUCAAAUGACCUUCAACAAGGGUGCCAAGACUACCCAGUGAAGGAAGGACAGUCUCUUCAACAAACGGUGUUAGAGGAGUUCCCACUGUGGCAAAAUGGAAUCUGCGACAUCUCUGCAAUGCUGUGACUCAGGUUCAAUCCCCAGCCUGGGACAGUGGGUUAAGGAUCCCCUGAUGUCCUCAAAGUUUGUCCAUGUAGCACAUUGCAGAUGUUCCUUCUUUUUUAAGGCUGCGUAAUAUUCCACUGUGUGUAUAGACCACAGUUUGCUCAGCCAUUCAUCCAUCAGUGAACACGGGUUGCUUCUGUGUUUGAGCUCCUGUGAAAAAUGCUUUUGCGACCAUGGGGUCCCUUGAAGAUCCUGCUUUCGAUUCUUUUUAGUCUAGACCCAGAAAUGUAAUUGCUGGGUCAUAAGAUAAUUCUGUUUUUACCUUUUUCAAGACCUGUCCUCAUUCCUUUUAUGGUUCCAAAGCACUCGUUAUGUGGCUGUCUCUUGUUUAUUCUGCUGGGCCUUACUGAUGGCCAUUUGGCUUUCUUUUCAGGCUUAGACUAUUCCAAACAGAGCUGCAGCAAAUAGCCUUGUCCCUGCAUUUUUUGUUUUUUGGGUUUUUUUUUCCUUUUGUUUUGUUUUUUGGUAUUCUUUGCAGUGAAUCUUUGAGAGAUUCCUAGAGGUGGGAAUACAGGCUCAAAGGGCAAAUAUGCAUGUAGUUUGCUAGGCAUUGCCAAAUUCCCUUCCACAGGGAUGGUACCAAUUCGUGUUCCCAUCAGCAAAGUGUGAGAGUGUCUGUUUGCUCACAGCCUGAACAAGAGAGUAUUUUGUUAAAUACUUGGACUUUUGCCAAGCUGUACUGGAAGAAAUAGUUCCUUGAGGCAAUUUGCAUUUUGUUAACUGCAAACAGAGUUGAGCGUCUUUUCAUAUAGUUUUGAAAUACUGACCUUUCUUUUUCGAUAAACUGUUCGUAUUUUUAGUGCAUUUUUUCUCACAAAUUCUUGGCCUUUUAAUUUAUAUUAGAAUCACUUUAUAUUCUAAGAAUAUUAAGUCUGUUGUGAUAAAUUGUGAAUCUUAUUUUGUAACCAGUCUUUCAUUUGUCUUUUUAAAUUUUAUUUAUCAUUUUUGUUUUUGUUUUUUUGGCCAAGGAGACAUCGCCUGGUGCCUAAAUGAAUCUCUCUCCCCCUCCAUGUAAUGAUCAUGAUAUUUCCACAGAGAAAACAAGCCUACGGAAUCAGAUCUCACAGUCCUGAUGUCUGGAGUUAAUUCAGGGGUGUCAGCCAGAGGGACCAGAGAGCGACACAGGGGCUCUAGGGCCCUAAGCCCUGGCCAAAAGGACUGUUUUGAUUUGUAAGUUUUCAAUAGGUUUGUGUGUCCAAAGAGAAGGAAGUUGAUGCCUUUGCACCCGGACGGGAAGCGUCAUCAUCCGCAUCCUUGGCACCUGGAAGUCCAAGGUCAGUACAGGGCGUGAUCCGCACGUCCGACUUCACAUGGCACUCAAAUGAGAACACAAGGCUGUGUUCUGUCCUGAAAGCUUUGGGUCACUAACCCAGCUGUCUGGAAGAGGAGAAGACACCAUAGCAGAGAGCUCUGCUUUGUCAAAAUGCCACUCGGUGUAAACCUGAAUAAACUUCAUGCCGAUAGGAGUUCCCAUUGCGGCUCAGGGCGUUAAGAACCCAUCUGGUAUCCAUGAGAAUGUAGGUUCAAUCCCUGGCCUCACUCAGUGGGGUAAGGAUCCGACGAUGGUAUAAGCUGCAGCUAGGUCACAGACGCGGCUUGGAUCUGGCAUUGCCGUGGCUGUGGUGUAGACCAGCAGCUACAUCUCCGAUUCGAUCCCUAGCCUGGGAACUUCCACAUGCUGCAGGUGCGGC